rnacentral:rRNA from 1 species
UCCAACGUUAAUCGGGGCUGGGUGAGUCGACCCCUAAGGCGAGGCCGAAAGGCGUAGUCGAUGGGAAAUUGGUUAAUAUUCCAAUACUUCUGUGUAAUGCGAUGAGAGGACGGAGAAGGUUAAGUCAGCCUGGCGUUGGUUGUCCAGGUGGAAGGAUGUAGGUAUGUAUCUUAGGCAAAUCCGGGGUACUCUAUACUGAGAUCCGAUAGCAAGCUGUACUUGUACAGUGAAGUGGCUGAUACCAUGCUUCCAGGAAAAGUCUCUAAGCUUCAGUUACACAGGAAUCGUACCCGAAACCGACACAGGUGGUCAGGUCGAGUAGACCAAGGCGCUUGAGAGAACUCUGCUGAAGGAACUAGGCAAAAUGGUACCGUAACUUCGGGAGAAGGUACGCUGUUGUUGGUGAUGGAACUUGCUUCCUGAGCUGACGACAGCCGCAGAAACCAGGCCGCUGCAACUGUUUAUUAAAAACAUAGCACUCUGCAAACACGAAAGUGGACGUAUAGGGUGUGAUGCCUGCCCGGUGCUGGAAGGUUAAUUGAUGGGGUUAGCGUAAGCGAAGCUCUUGAUCGAAGCCCCAGUAAACGGCGGCCGUAACUAUAACGGUCCUAAGGUAGCGAAAUUCCUUGUCGGGUAAGUUCCGACCUGCACGAAUGGCAUAAUGAUGGCGGCGCUGUCUCCAGCAGAGGCUCAGUGAAAUCGAAAUCGCUGUGAAGAUGCAGUGUACCCGCGGCUAGACGGAAAGACCCCGUGAACCUUUACUGCAGCUUGACACUGAACUUUGACCUUACUUGUGUAGGAUAGGUGGGAGGCUUUGAAGUUGGAACGCUAGUUCCAAUGGAGCCGUCCUUGAAAUACCACCCUGGUAAUGUUGAGGUUCUAACUCUGUCCCGUUAUCCGGGACGAGGACCGUGUCUGGUGGGUAGUUUGACUGGGGCGGUCUCCUCCUAAAGAGUAACGGAGGAGUACGAAGGUGCGCUCAGCGUGGUCGGAAAUCACGCGUAGAGUAUAAAGGCAAAAGCGCGCUUAACUGCGAGACCCACAAGUCGAGCAGGUACGAAAGUAGGUCUUAGUGAUCCGGUGGUUCUGUAUGGAAGGGCCAUCGCUCAACGGAUAAAAGGUACUCUGGGGAUAACAGGCUGAUACCGCCCAAGAGUUCAUAUCGACGGCGGUGUUUGGCACCUCGAUGUCGGCUCAUCUCAUCCUGGGGCUGAAGCAGGUCCCAAGGGUAUGGCUGUUCGCCAUUUAAAGAGGUACGCGAGCUGGGUUUAGAACGUCGUGAGACAGUUCGGUCCCUAUCUACCGUGGGCGCUGGAAAUUUGAGAGGAUCUGCUCCUAGUACGAGAGGACCAGAGUGGACGAACCUCUGGUGUACCGGUUGUGACGCCAGUCGCAUCGCCGGGUAGCUAUGUUCGGAAGGGAUAACCGCUGAAAGCAUCUAAGCGGGAAGCCUACCUCAAGAUAAGAUUUCCCUAGGAAUUUAUUCCUCUAAAGAGCCGUUCGAGACUAGGACGUUGAUAGGUUGGAUGUGGAAGCAUAGUGAUAUGUGAAGCUGACCAAUACUAAUUGCUCGUGAGGCUUGACUA